UUUUGAAGGAAGGGCCGGAAAGAACAAAAACGAAACACUUCCGUUCGUCCCCUGCGCAGCGACGCUCCCCCUUCCGUUCGUCCCCUGCGCAGCGACUCUCUCCCUUUUCCGGCGUCUCUCACAGGUGCACCACCGUCGAGCGAUCCGGCGCCUCCCACUUGGCUGACUCUCCGGCGCCGACAGCUGCUGCUCCUUCACCGGCUGAAGCUUCUGAUUCGAGACGGUGUGCGGUCGAAUGGGAGUGGAAGAACUUUCGGGGAGGAGCUUCCUCGGCUUGCGAAAGAGGUUCAGCGCAUCACGAACAUUCGCAGAUAUGUCGGGACUGCAUUACAGCUUGAAGUGCUGGUUGGAGAUCUGGAAGAUUCAAUUAUCUUCAUACAUCAGCAAGCGAGAAAUGUCUUGUCCAAAAAAAUUUCUGCUUCAUCUGUUCUUAUGGUUAUGAACCCGAUGUGAUUCCUCCUUUUCAAUUCAGGAAACCGGACAGAGUAGAGAGAAGUUACUUCGAGCGAUAAAAACCAUGAAUGAUAUCGAGGACCUAGUUGUGAAAUUACGGAAAUGGGUUAGAGGUGCGGAUUCAUCUGCUCGCUCGAGCGAGCGUCGCUGCUCUGCUUGCUCGAGCGAGCGUCGCGAGCAGAGCAGCAACGCUCUCCUCGCUCGAGCUCUGAUUCUGAUAACUCACACCAUCGCCCCAUCCCCGAUCGAAGCCCUAAGGCAGGAGAUCGCCAUUCUCCACGAGGUGUCCAAUCUGAUUCAGUUAAUCAAAAGAAACUAGGAACUCGCAUUGCGGAUCUGGAAUCUCAGCUUGGCCAAGCUCAAGAAGAGCUGAAGAAUCUGAAAGAGCAAUUGGUCUCAGCUGAGGCUGCAAAGAAAGUAGCUCAAGAAAAGCUUGAGAAGAAAACCAAGACAAAGUUUGUACCAGACUCGGUUGAUGUCCCUAAGAAGCAUCAUGCAAAAGAAGUUCAAGAAUCAAACAACCCAAAGAGCAACCCUUUAAAUGAUGUUCCUGAUGAGAACCGGCAGGAGACUGAUGUAUUUGAAGUACCAGUCGAGAAGGUUGCUUUGGAGACUCAAAUAGAGGUUAGCCAACUGAACAAUGAGAUAGAGAAGGAAACAAAAGCAAUUGACUUACCAGCAGAGCCACCUGUAUUUGUGUAGCCACCCCCGCACUUGCUUCAGUUGGCUGAGAAGAAGGAUGAGAUAAAUUUGCUUAAAGGUAAGUUACUUGAAAAGGAGAAGGAACUUGAAGUAGCUGGCCAGCAAACUGAAAACCUGAGAAAGCAACUAGUCGGGGCAACAAUGACGAUAUCUUCUGCUCGGAGCAAAGAAGAAGAAAUGGCCUCAAAGCUGAGUCAGCUAGAAGAGGAACUUAAAGCGAGCAAAGAAAACAACAUCCAAUUGAAGGAGAAAUUAGAAGCUGUGGAAGGAGGUAAAGAAGAACUAGAAGCGGAGAUGAAGAAGCUGAGGGUGCAGACCGAGCAGUGGAGGAAAGCAGCAGCUGCUGUUCUUGCUGGUGGUGUUGAAAUGAAUGGGAGAAUUCCUGGAAGAUGCGGUUCCAUGGAUAAGCAUUUCGGAGGAGUUUUUGAGGUGCCUCAUCCAGGUUAUGCUGAUUUUGUGGGUUCACCAGGAAAUAUUGAUGAUCUAGACGAUGGCUUUGGAGGUGGGAAGCGAAAGAACUCUGGGAUCAGAAUGUUCGAAGAUUAGUGGAAGAGGAAGGGCCAGAAGUAAUCCAUCAUCUCUGUGCUCCAUUACCCUAUAUGGUUUUGGUGUCAUUAAGGGUUGAAAACGAGGAAAAUUGGCGCCUGUUAUUAGUCUUUUGGGUUUCGAAGUGCUAGUGCUUUUUGUUCUCUUUUGCUAGGAUGAGUGGCACACUAUAUGCAUGAAUAUGUCUAGUGGCAAAACUAAAUCUAAACCACUAUGGCACUGCUCAAUUUGUUUGAGAGUUCUGAUAUCCGUCUUGAUCGUUUGUUUUGUUUCUAAGGUGCAACUUUAAUCCACAGGCAGAUAUUGCUAUCUGCAAGUUUAGAUUCCUGCUGACUUGAGAAAAUAAAUUGAGACUAUACAGAGUGUGGGAAAGAACGUAUUCGAGAAAGUUGAACAUCAAGACUUUGAUAUCUUGGCUA